AUGCUUCAGCAGCACAUAUGCUAAAAUUGGAACAAAGAAGAGAAGAUUAGUAUGGCCCCCUACACAAGGAUGACUAAUGUGCAACAUUCCAUAUUAAA
rnacentral:snRNA from 1 species